rnacentral:rRNA from 1 species
GACGGAGGAUGCAAGCGUUAUCCGGAAUGAUUGGGCGUAAAGCGUCCGCAGGUGGCAGUUCAAGUCUGCUGUCAAAGACCGGGGCUUAACUUCGGAAAGGCAGUGGAAACUGAACAGCUAGAGUAUAGUAGGGGCAGAGGGAAUUCCUGGUGUAGCGGUGAAAUGCGUAGAUAUCAGGAAGAACACCGGUGGCGAAAGCGCUCUGCUAGGCCGCAACUGACACUGAGGGACGAAAGCUAGGGGAGCGAAUGGG